rnacentral:misc_RNA from 1 species
AAGAAAACAAAAUUUUGAGAAAAACGUAUUAGAAAACUCAGUCCCUAAGAUGCUCUUAAAAAUUGCAACCAUAACCACAAAUCAUUACAGAUCUGUGCAACUCAUCACUGCUCUGUCUAAUGUCCCAUAAAAUAAGAUAAAAUUGAAAUGUAAAUAUCAAAAAUAGAUGCACUGGAGUUGACAUUCCCAUAUCAAAAAAAAUAAAAAAUAAAAAGUAGAGGGACAGAUUUAAAAAAUCAACAAAAAUAAAGUACUGAACCUCUACCAGUAAAAGUUCAUCAAACAUCAUCCAAAAAUAAUUCCUCCAGUUACCCACUUAUGAACCUAUACAAUAUAGACAUACGCAUUUAAAUAAAAACAUAUUUAUAAGUACUAAUUAAAAAGCAUUUUCAUGAUGUCCAAAUUUAACACAAACACAGCCUUGGAUAGCAAGGGAAACAACUUUUUCGGCUUCAAAGAUAAAAGCAUUAAUUAAUUAAACUUGGUAUAAGGCUGCAAGCUUGAAAUAAAUAAAAGAUGAAGCCAUAACAGUUUACCCAAAAGUCUCGAUGCAUAAAGAAAUAUACAUUUUUGGAACUCAGUCCCUUAGAUGUUCAU